AGCGAACGCUGGCGGUAGGCCUAACACAUGCAAGUCGAACGGCAGCACAGUAAGAGCUUGCUCUUACGGGUGGCGAGUGGCGGACGGGUGAGGAAUACAUCGGAAUCUACUUUUUCGUGGGGGAUAACGUAGGGAAACUUACGCUAAUACCGCAUACGACCUACGGGUGAAAGCAGGGGAUCUUCGGACCUUGCGCGAUUGAAUGAGCCGAUGUCGGAUUAGCUAGUUGGCGGGGUAAAGGCCCACCAAGGCGACGAUCCGUAGCUGGUCUGAGAGGAUGAUCAGCCACACUGGAACUGAGACACGGUCCAGACUCCUACGGGAGACAGCAGUGGGGAAUAUUGGACAAUGGGCGCAAGCCUGAUCCAGCCAUACCGCGUGGGUGAAGAAGGCCUUCGGGUUGUAAAGCCCUUUUGUUGGGAAAGAAAAGCAGCAGGUUAAUACCCCGCUGUUCUGACGGUACCCAAAGAAUAAGCACCGGCUAACUUCGUG
rnacentral:rRNA from 1 species